rnacentral:lncRNA from 1 species
GUAACGUACCUCUCCGCCGCCUAGCAAAGAGUCCCUAGGUGAACAGCCUGAUUGCGUUGAUGUCUAAUCUAUUCAAUCAAUAACUAUUCAUCGAGCAUCUCGUGUGUGCUAGGCACUGUCUGGGCUUUGGGGGUACAGCACGUGAUUAAAGCAAAGUCUUCUGCUGCUAGGGCUUACAUUGUACUGGGAGAGACAAUAAAAGCAUUUAACUGAAUAAAGAUAAUUUGAGGCCAGGCGCGGUGGAUCACGCCUGUAAUCCCAGAACUUUUGGGAGGCUGAGGCGGGCAGAUCACCUGAGGUCAGGAGUGUGAGACCAACCUGACCAACAUGGUGAAAGCCCGUCUCUACUAAAAAU